rnacentral:tRNA from 1 species
GGGGUUGUGGCUCAGCGGUAGAGCGCUUGCCUAGUAUGUGUGAGGCCCUGGGUUCGAUCCUCAGCAUCACAU